UUUGCAACGAGCUUUGCUCUAGUUAUUUUUCUUUUUCUUUUCUUCUGACUCCUUUUUUGCCUCAUAACUCAAAAGGUUUUAAACUGAUUUUAAUGAAAUUUUCAGAGAUUUUUGCAAGUUAGCGUCCCUCAAAAAUGGAAAAGUUUUAAAGAGAACGUCACUUCCGUUUUGACGUGACGUCAUUUUUAAAAAUUUCAAAAAGUCAUUUUGUCCCGGACUUUUCUCAAAAACGCUUUAAGAUAGAGGCUUGAAAUUUUGAAUGGUUAUGAUUUGAUCGAUUAACCUCUGUAAUAAGACUCGAAAUGAAAAUCGGUCACUUCCGGUCGAAACCGGAAGUGAAACAAAUUUUUCAAAAAAAGGAAUUUUCAGAUCAAAUCAAAAAUGAAUAUGUGUUUUGUAGAGCUUACUUAGCUGAAUCUAACACUGAAAGCCGUUUUAAAAUCGGACGAUGCAUUACAGAGAUAUUGGGGUUUAAAAAUUGAUUUUUCCGGAAAUUUUGAUUCCGCGUCCUUGGUUUAAAAAAUAGCGUAAUGUUAAAAGUAAAAUUAACUCGUACUAUAAAUAAUUGUUAAGUCGUACUGUAACACAUUCGGAUUUUUUUUGGUUAAGUCGUUCUUAAAAUCGGAAAGGUUUUUGUUAAGUCGUACUUAAAACCAUUCGUAUUUUGUUAAGUCGUACCAGGAAUAUUCGAUUUUUUCAUCUUUUUAUUUUAGUUACUUUUGUUAUUGGUUUAAGAGCUUUGCUUCUUACAGGAACUUCCAGCUUUACUUCCAACAUUAACGGAAGACCCACUCGUUGCUUUGCAACGAGCUUUGCUCUAGUUAUUAUACUUUUUCUUUUUUUUCUGACUCCUUUUUUGCUUCAUAACUCAAAAAGUUUUCAACCGAUUUCAAUAAAACUUCCAGAGAUUUUAGCAAGUUAUCGUCCCUCGAAGAUGUUAAAGUUUUAAAGACAACAUCACUUCCGUUUUUGCGUGACGUCAUUUUUAAAAUUUAAAAAAAGUCAUUUUGUCCGGGACUUUUCUCAAAAACGCUUUAAGAUAUAGGCUUGAAAUUUUCAAUUGUUAUGAUUUGGUCAAUUUACCUCUGUAAUGAAGCUAUAUAAUAAAAAUCUGUCACUUGCGGUCGAAACUGGAAGCGAAUCAAAUUUUUUGAAAAAAUGAAUUUUUUGAUCAAACAAAAAACGUAUACGUAUUUUGUAGAGCUUUUUAAGCUGAGUCUAAUGCUGAAAACCGUUUAAAAUUCGGAGGAUGCAUAACAGAGAUAUCGGGGUUUAAAAACUGAUUUUCUCGGAAAUUUUGAUGCCGCGUUCUUGGUUUCAAAAAUAGUGCAAAAUUCACACUGAAAGUAACUUUUACUGUAACAAUUCGUACUGAUCAUAAAACUUUAUAAAAAAACAUAAAAUUAUAUGCAUAUUGUAUAGUUUGUAAAGAUAAAUACAAAACUUCAAUUCGUUUUAAAAUCGGAUACUGCAUUGCGGAGUUAUCGGGGUUUAAAUAUUGAUUUUUCCGGAAGUUAUUGGUUUAAAAAAUAGUGCAAAAUUCACACUAAAAGUAACUCCUGCUGAAAAGAUUUCGUACAGGUCAUAAAACCGAACUCCUUUUUUAUAUAGUUAAUCAGAGUGUUUAUUGAAACAAUUUCGUUAAUUCGGUCGAUAAUUACGAUGUUAGUUUUUAUUAGUCUGAUUAGUUUUAAUCGAAAUAAUUAUCGUACGAUUCACCAUGUCAACUCGCCAUGUUUUGACUGCGAACAACAGCUGAUAGCGGUGUGUCAGAAGAAUGGCCUGCAAGACGGCGAUAGUGGAAAUUUCAGCUCAACUAACGUAUGACAGAUUAUAAAGCUAUUGGUGGCCACAUGGUUUUUACCUGUUGAUUCUUUUCAGCUCUUGAGGUUAACCUGUCAUCUCUACCCACAUGCAUAUUCCUUAAUGUGUUCUACAGACUAUUUACCAGUAAAAAUUAAAUCGGAUAAUUCAUGAACAGUUACUGUAAUGGAACUUUAAGAAAGCAUCAUGCCUUGUUGUGGUUUGUGUUUGAUAAGAAAUUAUAACAAACAAAAUUAUGGCUGUUUAAAGUAAUUUACAAUUGUUAGCUGUGAAAAUUUGUUUUUCAAUAAAAGUAUGCACAUUAUGUUUCUUUAAUUUUUUUAGCUCACCUGAGCUGAAAGCUCAAGUGAGCUAUUCUGAUCACAUUUUGUCCGUCGUCCGUCUGUCCGUCUGUCUGUCCGUCCGUCCGUCCGUCCGUCUGUAAACUUUUUACAUUUUGAACUUCUUCUCUAAAACCGCUUAUCCAAUUUCAACCAAAUUUGGCACAAAGCAUCCUUAUGGGAUGGCGAAUAUAAAUUGCAGAAAUAAAAGUCCGAUCUGUAUUCAAAGCGGAGAAAACCUUGAAACUGUAGAAAAAGGGGGGUGCAUUUUUAAAAAUCUUCUUCUCAAGAACUACCGAGGCAAAUUCAACGUAGUUUAGCAUAAAUUAUCCUUAUGGGAAGGAAAAUAUAAAUUGCAAAAAUUAAGGUCUAAUUCAGUUUCAAAUCUGAGUUAUUACGAAAAUAAUGAUAAAGGAAAGGCGUGUUCAGCUUCGGUUCGGUUCGGCAUCCGGUAAAAUGGGUAGGCAAGACUUGGCCUGGUCAAAACAAAAGAUUGGCAGUUAUUAAUCUGCCAAUCUCAUUAAAAUUUCAGGAUAUUUGAUGGACCAGUUAUAUUUGUAUUCGCUGUAAAUAUUGCCGCAAAAUAAUGCGUAUUUGGAAUUGACGAUUGCCGAUCUGCCCCGGCUUUUAUUUUGCCACGGCCCGUGUUUGCAUACCCAUUUUACCAAGACUCGUAUUCCAUACUUCUAAAACGAGGUUCUUUGUUUAAAGCAGCCAUGACAUUAUACGAAAAAGGGUCGAUCUGACUAUGAUGAAUUUGCUUGUUAUGCAACAGUUCGUGUAUGAAGGGAAAUUUUUGAAACAUGCAAAAUAUAUUGGUGCCGAUUUUGUGAAGUAAAUUGAGGCUAAAUAUUUCAAUGCGUUGACAGAUUUCACACAUGACGUUGGUGUUAGCUUGUUCUGAUUUUCGUUUCGUUUUCAUUAUUUAUGCUUUGUAAUUUAACCUGGGAACUCUUGUAUUUCGUGAUUUUUACGUAUCAAUUCAAACAGAGACUUCGGUAAAUCAAACAGUUAACUGUUUACCUGCGCAAAUUAAGCAAAAUCUGAUGUAUCAAAAAAGUACUGAAAUACAAUUCAUUCUAUCGGUAAUUCGGCUUUAUCUUUUGCGUAAUGGUAGAUUAAUGCAAUAGGUUUUGUUGAGAUCGAUGCUCGGCAUUUUCUCGAGUUUAUUCAGUUUAAAUAGAGUUUGAUAUCGCUGAAGGAAAUAUGUAGGUAUAUAUACAUGUAUAUAUAUGAUUCAUUUCGAAAAAAUAAAUUGUGUUCUUUAUUUGUUAUAGUGCAUGCAUGUUUCUUGUGUUUAAUUGUUUACAAUUUCUAUUUACUAACCAUAUUUGAGUGUUAAGCUUCGAAUUAUAAGCAAGAUACAGAGAUUUGCUUACAAUUCUAUGUUUGUACACAGAUCUUAAAAACUAAAGAUUGAAAAGGUAAAAAAUUUGUCAAUAUUUAUUAAUAUAUCAAUAUUUAUUAAGAAGUCUGUUCUGCCAGAAACCAAUUUUAACAACUUAUUGUAUUGUAAACUUAACCUUUUUUCGUCAUUAUUACUCCUACUGUACAUGUGAUCCUUGACUGUGUUUGUGUACAUUUGUAUAAACUGAUUUUGAACCUUAAAUACCAAUGAACUGGUCUUGAGUGAAUAAAAGAAUUGAAAAUC